ensembl:lncRNA
UCUUAACCUGGGUGAGAUUUCUGCCUCUCCUAUUUGCUAACUGGCGAUCUGGGUACAGUAAUUCCAUUUACCUAAGUUUAUUCUGUUGCGCUAUACAAGUAAGGAUUAUAGUACUAUCUAUUUCAGAUGGUGUGUGUAAAGACAAUAUAUAAAGCCCGGCGCAUAGUAGGUGCUCAGUGUAGAGAGAGUAUAGUUGCUCGUGAAAUCCAAUAAUUGAUUUAAAUUUUAUGUAAAAAUGCUUAGCUUUUAAAAUAAGUCCCCUACAUAUAAGUUCUGUUUCUAGAGCACAUUCAUAGGCCCAAUUUGUUUGUAAGUCCAACAAAGUUAGCCUAGGUACUCAGCUAACACAAUUGACUAUCUAGUACUAUGCUGUAAUAGGUUUGUAAUACUGUUCACACAAAUAAUAUACAAAAAAAUAAAGAAUAUAUUUUUAAUCUUACAGUACAGUACCUUGAAAAGUACAGUAGCAGCAGCUAUGCCACCACUGCUUUUUACGCUUGCUUCUGGACAUCCAGGGCUUGAAAUAAAGAGUUUGGGUCUUGGCAGAAGAUCUAGUCUGGAGCAGGGACCAGCCAGGAAGCUCAUGUAGUUUAAAGCCUGGAGAUGAGAUGGGACAUCAUGAAACCUUUAUCCAAGUUACUAAGAAGAAGAGAUGGAGAUGAGGAGGGAAUCUGAGGUAUGUUUUAGAGGCAGAGAUGAUAACUUUUGGUGGUCUACUGGAUGGCAGAGAUGAAUGAACUGAUGAACUGAUUUUGGGAUGUUUAACCUGGGCAGCAUAGUGACUAAUGAUGCCAUUGAUGAGAUAGGGAAUCUGGGAUACAUGGUGGGUUGUAUUAUGAUGGGGAAAGAUAAACUUUUUAUCUGGUCUAAAAGUACUUGCGGAACUCAUUUCCUUCCUUUCUUCCAUUCUUCUUUCCAGACUUUCCUUCUUCUUUCAUUUGCUUCAAAAUCUCUUCAACACAGCCUAUAAGUUAUGCCAGAAGCUUGGUGUACAUUGUAGAAUAAAACAGACUUAGAAACUAUGAUUGGGGCAUUUAUCAUUUAGUGGAGAAGAGAGUUAUGUGGUACCAAGAGGAAACGGAGCUAGACAACAAAUAAGAAUAUAAACACAAUAACCACUGAGUGUGAUAAAUGAUGAAAUAGAAUAAGCAUGGGAAGCUGUGUAGCCCCUUUCAGCAAGGAAAGACUUUCAAGGAGGUGAUGCUUGAGGACAGGAUUAUAAGAGCAGGGAACUCUAACUUGAAAAGCCAGGAGGGCUUGGCAUGCUCAAGGAACUCCAAGAAGUCCUUGCUGCUGGAUCAGUAGAGCUGAAGGAGAUUGAGGAGCCCUAAGCUGAACAUUGGCUGCUUCCAGCAUUUAACUUCCAAUAGUUAGAAGGGGAGGUUGAUCAGAUAGCUAGAUGAUACCAGCUAGCUGAUACCUGGUGGACAACUCCAAGCCUGGAAACUGGGAAUCAGGUUUGCGUCAGAGAUGAAGAUUUGGGAGUCAGACUUCCCUGGUAGCUCAGAUGGUAAAGAGUCUGCCUGCAAUGCAGGAGACCCGGGUUUGAUCCCUGGGUCAGCAAGAUUUCCUGGAAAAGGAAAUAGCAAUCCACUCCAAUGUCCUUGCCUGGGAAAUCGCAUGGGCAGAGGAACCUGGUGGGCUACAGCCAAUGGGGUCACAGAGUUGGAAGGACUUGGCGAUUAAACAACAACAAAUGCAAAUGGGGCACUGAAAUCCAUGGGGAAACAGAGAGGCUUGCCCUGAGAAAGAGCACGAAGCAGAGAGAGAGCAGCGAACCAAGCAAGCACAGUACUUUGGGAGAAAAUGAACAAGCCCUAGAGGGGACCUAGAAGCAGUCUCAGAGGAAAGAAGGAGGCAGGUUGUAGGAAGUGACCGUAUCAUGAAGGAUGAGGUGGUCCACAUCUCAGGAGCAGCUCAGAGGUCGAGUGUGAGGGAGCAGGGGAGACGAAGCAGUAGUUAGAAAUGCACUGAAAUGACUGGAUGAAAGUGAGAUUGCAGGGGCCUGGCGCGAGCAUGGGAGGUUAGGAAAUGGACUUAGAAAGCAGGCAUUGUCGUUUUGAAACAAUCACAGAGGAAGAAAAGAUGGACUGGGUAAUUGUUUGAGAAGGAGAACGGAUUAUGGGGAGUUUCUUUGUUUUUAAGAAUUUGUUUCUUUCCUUUGAAUAGGCUCAGGACCCAAAUCUGGGCCUUUGUGCUGGGGCAGCAGGUUUUCUUGACUUUCUGGAACGUCAGGCUGCAGGGGCUGAGGCAGCCACCUCCCCUCUGGCCCCUAUACCCUUGCUUUUGGCUCCUGUGAAGAACAAAGAAAUCAGUGGGGCAAGCAAGUUUGGUGCUUUGAUCCAGCUCAUUCUCCAAGCUUUAAACCACAUUUGCUCUAAGCUGGCUGAUAGUUUCCAUCACACCCUGUCUGACUUCCUGUUCUCAUGCCAGCCCCUUCAUCUGAACAUCUUACUCAUAGUAGGUGCACAAUAAAUAGUUGUGCUUUGGUUGGAUGGGUGUGACGUACAGAGAACCUUGCAGCUCCCAUAGAGGAGCGAGCGCAGUCUCAUCACGUGAUGUGAAAUGCGCACUAACCGUUCAUGUCAUACGUGUGGGUAUGUGGUAUCCCCACCAGAGAGACUCCACCUAGGACUGAUAGCGUCACUGACGGUUCUUAUCAAGUUUGAGGAAUUUCCUCUUCCAAUGCCUCAACCUGCUAAUUGCAUUUAGGCACAGGUAAUGCUUAAAAAAGUCGAAUAGUAUUAAGUAGCAGCUACCGGGAAGUAGAAAUCCAGCAUAGCCAGCGUGGGCCUGCCUCCUCUGAGACUCAAGAUGUCAAACUGUGUUACUUUGGUUAUUGCUUUACAGUAUUUCAAAUCGUGUUACAUUAUAUCACGCCACUCUGGAAUAUGAAGUGAGCCCCAAACUGUCGGAUAAUGGGCAAACACAAGGGUUGCCUGACAGUAUGAAUUAUCCUUGAGUGGCUUGGCAUAAAGUAAUCACACCACUCUUUAGGGAGAGGGAAAAAAAAUAGAGCUAGACACUCCGGACAGAGCAGCAGUGUAAUCAGAUUCACUGACCCACUCCAGCAGCUGCCUGCAGGCUGGCGGGCCCCAGAGCCCUUGCCGCGCUCCACAAACCAUGCCGGGCACACCUGAGGCUGAAGACAGAGAAGCCGCACCAAUCAAGGUCUCUCCUGAUUAAUAGAGCUGUUGCUCACCCAGCAAGGGAAAUUAGUGACAGGUAGAAACGACCAUUUAAUUCAUCCCGCAAGGCUGCACUCUCUCAACAGGCUUGUAGCAGCCUGAUUCAGGGACCCUGUCACGCCGUCACAGAAAAUGGCAUCACUUUCUGGGGACGGUAUGAUUCACAGCCUGGAGGAUGUGGCUUUAUUUUGCAAACAGGCAUUUCGCAAACCCUCUGUGUGUGUGAGUGCGAUGCUUUCUUCUACGGGCAAAGACAUUCUAUUUUUAAAAGUGCUUUUUAUAAUCUGGAUUUGCAUCUCUAUUAAAACUGCAAAUGACCCACCGUUGGUGGUGGAGGCUUGGAGUAAAAUGUCCAGUGGAGAAGUCAGGCAAACCGCCCCUGGCGUCUGCCCCCCGCUCAUGGGUGGACGGAGGGGUCCUGGUUGUGGGGUCAGGUCGAACCAGGAGGGGCAUUUUGAAAGCAGAUGGAGGCUAACUAGCAGCAUGAAGAGCCAUGGUUUUCAUGGAGAGCAGCCGAGGUUGGGCGGGGAUAAUAUUCCAAACGUCAGAAGGAGGCUGCAGCGAGUGCAGAGUCAGCAAGGUCACUCUGAGAGUGACCAGAUCAGGCCUAAGUGAGGGUCAGGGAGGGAGGUUCAGGAUGAAGGUGGUGAUGGUAGAUGAGUGAAAGCUGAGACAGAGCUCUCACUCGCCCCACGUUUUUUUCUGACAACGUCCUGACUUGCAUUCUGUGACCUAGCAGGUGGGUCUUCUCUCUGCCCCAUCUUUCCCUACAAGCUGCCGUUUGCCUCUUUAACAGACAUCAGUGAUCCCAUUCUUCGGCUGCUCCAAUUGAAGCCUUUCUUCAAGGCGUGACUUGGGAAGACUUGCUUGACUUCUCAGCCAGCCCUGAUUUCUCCAUCUUGUGGGCUCUUCUAGUAAAUAGCUCUUGACUUCAUACAGCAUUUCUGGGAAGCUGAGUCAACUCCCGAGUGUCCUGGGAGACCCUGCUGAGGAUCUGGAGCCAUUUAAGCCUCUUUUAAGGAAUCAAGAUUCUGAAACCAGGACCAUCCAAUGACACAGGCAGACUCGAAUCAAACAAGCAGCCCGUUUUUGAGGGGUGAUGAGAGCAUAGAAGAGGAUCGUGGGGGACCCACCCAGAGGCUGGCAGAACUGUGUGUUUCAGAUUCUAUCUGGGGCCAGAGGGUAGCAGAGGCAUGCAUGAAAAAUCAGAGAGACCACCUCCCUGCAAUGAGACUUUUUUCCUUGCUCCAUAUGUGAACUGUGUGACUUCUCUUCCUUCUCUCCACCACCCUUUCCCUGGCUCCUAAGUACUCUUGCUCACUGGAGUUCCAAGUCCCUGAAGCUCCGUCAGUCCUUUGAACAAGGGAAGAUCUCUGGGGAGCUGCCUCUGAGUGCCUUCCCAGGGGUGAUGGCACUUAGCAACGCAUCUUUGGGUCCCUGAGAGGCCUGCCUCAGGGGACUGCCUGCUCUUUAAGAGAGGCCUAUUCACAUUGCCUGAGCAGUAGCUCCCUUGGUGUUUGUGAAGCCACUCACAGAGGGCCUGACACUGGGGGCUCUUCACCU